UGGGGAAUUUUGGACAAUGGGCGAAAGCCUGAUCCAGCAAUGCCGCGUGUGUGAAGAAGGCCUUCGGGUUGUAAAGCACUUUUGUCCGGAAAGAAAUCCUUGGCUCUAAUACAGUCGGGGGAUGACGGUACCGGAAGAAUAAGCACCGGCUAACUACGUGCCAGCAGCCGCGGUAAUACGUAGGGUGCAAGCGUUAAUCGGAAUUACUGGGCGUAAAGCGUGCGCAGGCGGUUUGCUAAGACCGAUGUGAAAUCCCCGGGCUCAACCUGGGAACUGCAUUGGUGACUGGCAGGCUAGAGUAUGGCAGAGGGGGGUAGAAUUCCACGUGUAGCAGUGAAAUGCGUAGAGAUGUGGAGGAAUACCGAUGGCGAAGGCAGCCCCCUGGGCCAAUACUGACGCUCAUGCACGAAAGCGUGGGGAGCAAACAGGAUUAGAUACCCUGGUAGUCCACGCCCUAAACGAUGUCAACUAGUUGUUGGGGAUUCAUUUCCUUAGUAACGUAGCUAACGCGUGAAGUUGACCGCCUGGGGAGUACGGCCGCAAGAUUAAAACUCAAAGGAAUUGACGGGGUCAUAGCUGUUUCCU
rnacentral:rRNA from 1 species